GCAAUUUCAUCUCUAGCUUGGCAAAGUGUGCUUUCCUGUAUUCAUGCUUACCUCCCUCUCACUUUUUUUUUUUUUUUUUUUUUUGAUAAGGUGUUUCCCUCUUUUUGCCCAGGCUGGAGUGCAAUGGCACGAUCUCAGCUCACUGCAACUUCUGCCUCCUGGGUUCAAAUGAUUCUCCUGCCUCAGCCUCCUGAAUAGCUAGGAUUACAGACGCCCACCACCACACCCAGCUAAUUUUGUAUUUUCAGUAGAGACAGGGUUUCACUCUGUUGGCUAGGCUGGUCUCGAACUCCUGACCUCAGGUGAUCCACCAAAGUGCCUCCCAAAGUGCUGGGAUUACAGGCCUGAGCCACCACAUGCCAGCCUUUCACCCUUUCUGUAGCCCUGGAAAGACUACAUAUAUAAACCUGGGUUUCUUUUCCGAAAAUUUUUUUUUAGAAAAAUGUGUAAAAUGCUUGGAUGUUUGCUCUGUCUCUCGCCCUCCUAGCCCUGUCUCCUAAAGGGCCCCACCCAGUGACUGCUAGUCUUCCUGUCUGUGUGUGUACUGUGUGUGAUGUCUGUAAAAAGAGCUCUAGUUACGUUGGCCUAAAGAAAGAUAGGCACUUGCAUCUAAUAUCUUUUAAAGGGAAGAUAAAAAUCUGUGGUACCUUUCAGUUUCCGUAACUUUAAUCUUUAAGAAAUAUAAACGCCCCUAAAGACUAUUGGUAAAAAUGCAGGUUAGAUGAAAGGUUUGCUAAGUGUUUUGAGGUUACAAACUGCUUUCUGGGUUUUGAGAACAAUUUGACUUGCUGGCUUCACAAUUGGUAAGGCUUGGGGACACAUGGAACUAACCACAGCCUUAACUAAGAAGGCAAACCUUGGCUGCAGUUAGCACACAAAGCAACUUACUAAAUUUUGUCUUAAAGUUAAAAAUUGCUAGGAUUUAAUUGAAACUACUAGAAAUAGAUUUACAUGCAAGGUGUGUAAGAACAGUAAAAUGUGUUUUUUAGUAAAAGGUUACAAGAAAGCAUGGAAAUGUAAACUUUUGCCCAGGGUUAAAGGAUGGUUUUGAGUUAAAUUAGGAAAAAGCUGAAGGUUCAAAGAAACUUCAGGUGCUUUGAAGGUGGAAGAACUGUAAAAAUUAUCUUGCAGAAGAGGUUCUCUGUGUGAACAUAUUGACUACAUUCAAAAAAGGGUGUUACAUGGUUUUUCUGUAAAUUAAGCAUUGAAAUAAAAGCACAAGGUUUUCCUAAGGCGUUAAUCUGCUCUUUGGCAAAAUUUGUAAAGGGUUUAUAAAAGGCUUUUUUUGCUUCUUUAAAAUUUGAGUCAUCAUUUUGACAAAAUACGUAACUUAUGGUAAUCUGGAAUUGUAUUUCAUAAUAUCAAGUGUUUUAAACCUCAAACAUUUAACAGCCUUCCCAAAAUUAAACUUCAGUUUCAAAAUUAUCUUCCCUGGCACCUGGGUUUUUGAAUACUUCAGAGGGCCUCUGAAGUGUCCAGAAAAGAGAGAUAAACAGGAUUAUUUGAUGUGUUUAGAUACAUGGGAUUGCCAAAAUGAUGCUCAAUCUUCUUUAGGCUGUAUCUUGGUGAAUAAUGCUAACAUAUGUUGCAAAAUUAUAUGGGAUUUCUAAAAUUCUGAUGUCUGAGUACAUGCUAUCAAUUAUUAUUAAGGUUAUGUUAAGUUAUUGUAAACCACGGAGAUAACCAAACCUCUUUGUCAUUUGUGUUUCUGACUGUAACUACCCUGGACAUAUUGCUAUUCACAGACAGUUGUUGUCUUGUUUUAAUCCUUUUUAAAAGAUGGUUUAUAGUAAGCUGUAAGACUUUGACAGGUGCUGUCAAAUGCAGGUUUAUGAUAACUUUGGAUAUUGUAACAUCGGAAUACAGGAAAAUGUACAGGACUCAUGAAGAGCUGAAAUGCUCACCAAUAUGAAGCAAAACAAGAGUUAACUAAAUGGACUGAACUCGGGACACUGAAGUAACAUUUUUGACUUUUGGUUGAAAUAUUGCUAAUCCAUGUUUUUUCAGUCAAGGAAACUUAUUUUGAACUGUUUACAACCUUUAAUAAUUGAGUAAAAUAUACUCCUAUGAACAAAAUUGGAAGCAUGUUUGUUUCUCUCUGUCUGGUUCCUCUAGAAUUUCGAAACUAUCUGUGAGUAUUCUUAUGGCAAUAUAGUUGUUUGCAUCAGUGCAAUAAGAAUCCAUUUUUCUUUUGCAACAGGACACAAUUGGAGAAAGUAAUUAUUCAUUGGUGAAAUGUGGGUAAUAUCCACUUCACUGAGUCGUUCUCAGGAUGAAGGGAAAUGACAGGCAAAAGCACCUGGCAGAGAUCAUGAAUAGAUUAUACGUGUUCCCAAAACGAUCGUUCGCAUCUGUGGAAUUGUGCUUUCUUACCUUGUUUUCAUGUGGUGCUUUUCUUCCUGGGCUUAUUCACAACAUUGCGUAAAAUAAUUUUGGAUAUAAUGACUAGUUUAGGUAAUUAGUAUCCUCUUCAUUUUAUAAAUGGAAUAAUAUUCAGACUCAGCGAUUAGGGUUGUGUCUGCUUGAGACAAUUAUGCCAGUCAUGCAGUAUAAUUUGGUUCAAAACAUUUUUUCUCUUUUCCUUUUAAUAUACCUUUGCAGAGAAUUUGCAUGGAACAGUUUUCUUCUUACCCAAACAGCUGACUGAAUCACACGUUCUUGCUGGGAUGAAUCAGUGAGGACACGCUAUUAUCGUUCUGAGAUCUAAGACCUUAGUAUAAAAGUUUUAAAUGGAAGUGAGCAGUCACCUCUGGGUAGUCUCCUGGGGGAAGGGCAACUGAUUGAUCACCCAAGUGACACUAGUUCUAAUUCACCAUCGUCCAGGAUACAGCCCAAGUCGUACACUUGCAAAUGCAUUCCUGUCACUCUCCGGGGUUGACUGGGCUCAGGGACUCAGACCACCAAGUUCACAAGAGAUGAAGUUAAUAAACCAGCAGGCCAACUGGUUCAUUUAUCGUGAAUGAUACCAACAUUUCCAGCCCCGACCCCAUAUGUGAAAACCAAUUUGUGAGAACACCGGUAAGCCCAGAAUCAGGACCAGAGGUAUGAGUUGUACAAUUCUAAUGUUCAAUGACACUGAGCUGUUUGGGAUCUGUCCAUUUCAAUUUGUUCUUUUGUUGCCUUCCAAUGUCCCAGGUAAAAUGAAACCCUUUCAGGCAUUGUUGUCAAAAACAAUCUGGCCUGGGUGUACCAUGACUGAAUGUUUCAGCCAGGAUUUUAGUGCCUGAAGUGGUCAGACCAGUUAAUAAUACCUCUCAGAAACAUUCAGCUUGUUGGCCAGAUUCCUUGAAUUUCAUUUUGUUUAAAUUUUUUUGUUUAAUUAUAACAAGGGAAUUACAUUGAUCCAGAUAACACAAACUGUUGCCAUGGUUCUUAAGUAGAAACAAUCUUAACACACCUGGAGCCAGGUAGGGAGCGGCGCUGUGAGUCUCCCAUCUUUCCUCACUUGCCCGUACCCGUGGCCAAGGGCAGCACAUGUUGAAAGUGGUGCAGGAGGUGACAAGUGGCACAGACGUGGCCUGAGGGGGAAUUGUGAGAACUGUGAGCUGGAGGUCAUCUGUCUCCAUUGCUUGGCAAGGAAAUGAAACGUUGCUGAUUGUUCACUUAGUUCACUUUCAUUUCCAUCCUUCACUUGAUGUUUCUACUUUCUAACAAAACUGUCGGAGCACCUUAAAAUGCCAUUUAAAAAUAAUAUGUAAAAUCUCCUAGGCUUCAAGUAAGCAGAUUUUCUUUUAUUUUCUUUUUUUUUCUUUUUUUUUUGAGACGGAGUCUGGCUCUGUUGCCCAGGCUGGAGUGCAGUGGCAUGAUCUUGGCUCACUUUAGCUCUGCCUCCCGAGUUCACACCAUUCUCCUGCCUCAGCCUCCUGAGUAGCUGGGACUUCAGGCGCCAGCCACCACACCUGGCUAUUUUUAGUAGAGACGGGGUUUCACCGUGUUAGCCAGGAUGGUCUCGAUCUCCUGACCUCGUGAUCCGCCCGCCUCGGCCUCAGAUUUUCUAGGGAAAGCUACGCAGAUACAACUGAAAUGCUGCCCUAAAAGAAGGAGCCAUGAAUCCCAAUUUAAAACAUUGGAAAUUGCAACAUGAGCCAACGCCAUGAUCAGUUUCUCGUAACAAGCUGGGUUACCUUUUAAAUCCCACUUUUGGGAGACCUAAGCUAAAAAUAAAGAAGGUUUUGUUUGGUUUUCUACAAAGCUGAACACCAAAGUUGAACGUUAGUCUUCAAAUAAAGAUUUGUUCACUGGCUUCACACACUUCAAAGUAUUUAAUUCAAUUAUUCCGAGAGGCUACAUAUGAAAUCAUAUCGUAAAAAUGGCACCUAGUCCAAUAACUAGUAAAAUAUGAAAUUCCUGUUGAUAUGAAAUCACCAAUCCCCAUAAGCCAAAAGAAGGACACACCUAUCUUCACCUAGUGGAGAGUGGUUUGUCUUUUACUAGUUCCCUGCUAUUUUUAGCUGAAGUUAAUCACAGUAGGAAGAAUCGAAUGCAUUAGCUCACACUAAAUGUUAUUAAUGAUUAAGACAGCUUAACCUGUUGACCCACCUGAAGGAUUGGUAUUUUAACUAGGGACUAUGUCUUAACAUAAAAGAAUAAAUCUCAGUUAGUAAUAUUUCAGGCAUUUGCGACACAAUGAGAAGAGAAAUGAGUCAGCUCACAGCACAUGGGCAAUGGGGCCCAAUGGGACAAAGUACAAGCUGUGGCUUCACUCAGAUCUGAAUGGAGUCCUGUGCCUGGAGCUUUCUAGCUGUCCACUCCAUCCAGAUCUUAAGUAAGUUACUUAACCUAUUGAAAUGUGGGUAACAAUAGCGCCUUCUCUGUAGGACUGUUAUGAUUAAUAAAUGAAAUAAUCUAUACAAAGUGCCUAGGACAGUGCCUGGCUUAUAAAAAGACACCACAACAGGAAAGCCGGUACAUGAAUGGCUUCUCCAUCUAUGGUAAAAUCACAAAAAGCUGGUUCCACAAUAAACUUCCAAAUUUCACAUUCUCCUUACACUUAAGGAAUAUUUCACAAACUUUCUAAGUACACAAAUCUAACAACCUUGCAUUUACGGGAGAAGUAAACUGUUUUUGUUUCUUUUUAAAAUUAAGACACUAUAGUACUUUAUUUUUAUAGAGAUGACUCUCACCAUGUUGUCCAGGCUGGUCUCGAGCUCCUGACCUCAAAGAAUCUUUUCUCCUCAGCCUUCCAAAGUGCUGGGAUUAUAGGCGUGAGCCACCGCACCUAGCAUGAACUGUUAUUUAGAACUAUUAAAGGACUAAAUAACCCUAUCUACCACCUUAUGUAUUUAUAGAACUUAGUUUCUAUUCAUCUAAAUAUAUGCAGAAUGAAAGCUAGAACUAUUUUAUAUUGAAC
ensembl:lncRNA